rnacentral:rRNA from 1 species
ACUCCUACGGGAGGCAGCAGUGGGGAAUCUUGGACAAUGGGGGCAACCCUGAUCCAGCCAUGCCGCGUGAGUGAUGAAGGCCUUAGGGUCGUAAAGCUCUUUCGCCUGUGAAGAUAAUGACGGUAGCAGGUAAAGAAACCCCGGCUAACUCCGUGCCAGCAGCCGCGGUAAUACGGAGGGGUUAGCGUUGUUCGGAAUUACUGGGGCGUAAAGCGCACGUAGGCGGAUCGGAAAGUUGGGGGUGAAAUCCCGGGGCUCAACCCCGGAACUGCCUCCAAAACUAUCGGUCUAGAGUUCGAGAGAGGUGAGUGGAAUUCCGAGUGUAGAGGUGAAAUUCGUAGAUAUUCGGAGGAACACCAGUGGCGAAGGCGGCUCACUGGCUCGAUACUGACGCUGAGGUGCGAAAGUGAGGGGAGCAAACAGGAUUAGAUACCCUGGUAGGAUAGCG